rnacentral:rRNA from 1 species
CGCCGAUGGUAGUGUGGCAUUUGCCAUGUGAGAGUAGGUCAUCGCCAGGG